rnacentral:rRNA from 1 species
UACGGGGGGGUAAGCGUUGUUCGGAAUUACUGGGCGUAAAGGGCUCGUAGGCGGCCAACUAAGUCAGACGUGAAAUCCCCAGGCUCAACCUGGGAACUGCGUCUGAUACUGGAUGGCUUGAAUCCGGGAGAGGGAUGCGGAAUUCCAGGUGUAGCGGUGAAAUGCGUAGAUAUCUGGAGGAACACCGGUGGCGAAGGCGGCAUCCUGGACCGACACUGACACUGAGGAGCGAAAGCCAGGGGAGCAAACGGG